UAAGAGGAGGUAGUGAUGCUUACAAGCACAUAUCUGUAAUUUGAAUAUGUGGAAAAAAUCAUUCUGAAUCUCCUCAUU
ensembl:snoRNA